rnacentral:rRNA from 1 species
AUUGAACGCUGGCGGCAGGCCUAACACAUGCAAGUCGAACGAGUGGCGGACGGGUGAGUCAUGUAUGGGAAACUGCCUGCUGGUGGGGGAUAACUACUGGAAACGGUAGCUAAUACCGCAUACCAUCAGAUGUACCCAGAUGGGAUUAGCUUUUUGGUGGGUGAACGGCUCACCAAGGCGACGAUCCCUAGCUGGUCUGAGAGGAUGAUCAGGCAAACUGGAACGGAGACACGGUCCGGACGCCUACGGGAGGAAGCGGUGGGGAAUAUUGCACAAUGGGCGCAAGCCUGAUGCAGCCAUGCCGCGUGUAUGAAGAAGGCCUUCGGGUUGUAAAGUACUUUCAGUGGGGAGGCGUUACCCGCAGAAGAAGCACCGGCUAACUCCGUGCCAGCAGCCGCGGUAAUUC